rnacentral:rRNA from 1 species
AUUGAACGCUGGCGGCAGGCCUAACACAUGCAAGUCGAACGAGUGGCGGACUGGUGAGCAAUGUCUGGGAAACUGCCUGAUGGAGGGGGAUAACUACUGGAAAAGGUAGCUAAUACCGCAUAACAUCAGAUGUGCCCAGAUGGGAUUAGCUUGUUGGUGGGGUAACGGGUCACCAAGGCGACGAUCGCUAGCUGGUCUGAGAGGAGGACCAGCCACACGGGAACUGAGACACGGACCAGACUCCUACGGGAGGCAGCAGUGGGGAAUAUUGCGCAAUGGGCGCAAGCCUGAUGCAGCCAGGCCGCGUGUAUGAAGAAGGCCUUCGGGUUGUAAAGUACGUUCAGCGGUGAGGCGGUACCCGCAGAAGAAGCACCGGCUAACUCCGUGCCAGCAGCCGCGGUAAUUC